rnacentral:rRNA from 1 species
GGUUAAGCGACUAAGCGUACACGGUGGAUGCCCUGGCAGUCAGAGGCGAUGAAGGGCGUGCUAAUCUGCGAUAAGCGCCGGUAAGGUGAUAUGAACCGUUAUAACCGGCGAUACCCGAAUGGGGAAACCCAGUGUGAUUCGUCACACUAUCAUUAACUGAAUCCAUAGGUUAAUGAGGCGAACCGGGGGAACUGAAACAUCUAAGUACCCCGAGGAAAAGAAAUCAACCGAGAUUCCCCCAGUAGCGGCGAGCGAACGGGGAGGAGCCCAGAGCCUGAAUCAGCAUGUGUGUUAGUGGAAGCGUCUGGAAAGGCGCGCGAUACAGGGUGACAGCCCCGUACACAAAAGCGCAUAUGCUGUGAGCUCGAUGAGUAGGGCGGGACACGUGGUAUCCUGUCUGAAUAUGGGGGGACCAUCCUCCAAGGCUAAAUACUCCUGACUGACCGAUAGUGAACCAGUACCGUGAGGGAAAGGCGAAAAGAACCCCGGCGAGGGGAGUGAAAAAGAACCUGAAACCGUGUACGUACAAGCAGUGGGAGCCCCACCACUAAGCCAGUGGUGAACUCCACAUACGCAUCCUUUGCUGAGGAGACGGUUAACGGAGCGAAAGCGACGUUCAACCUCAAAAGAAGCAGAGGGGGCUUAGUGGUGGGGUGACUGCGUACCUUUUGUAUAAUGGGUCAGCGACUUAUAUUCUGUAGCAAGGUUAACUGUAUAGGGGAGCCGGAGGGAAACCGAGUCUUAACCGGGCGUUAAGUUGCAGGGUAUAGACCCGAAACCCGGUGAUCUAGCCAUGGGCAGGUUGAAGGUUGGGUAACACUAACUGGAGGACCGAACCGACUAAUGUUGAAAAAUUAGCGGAUGACCUGUGGCUGGGGGUGAAAGGCCAAUCAAACCGGGAGAUAGCUGGUUCUCCCCGAAAGCUAUUUAGGUAGCGCCUCGUGAAUUCAUCUCCGGGGGUAGAGCACUGUUUCGGCUAGGGGGCCAUCCCGGCUUACCAACCCGAUGCAAACUGCGAAUACCGGAGAAUGUUAUCACGGGAGACACACGGCGGGUGCUAAUGUCCGUCGUGAAGAGGGAAACAACCCAGACCGCCAGCUAAGGUCCCAAAGUCAUGGUUAAGUGGGAAACGAUGUGGGAAGGCCCAGACAGCCAGGAUGUUGGCUUAGAAGCAGCCAUCAUUUAAAGAAAGCGUAAUAGCUCACUGGUCGAGUCGGCCUGCGCGGAAGAUGUAACGGGGCUAAACCAUGCACCGAAGCUGCGGCAGCGACACCGUGUGUUGUUGGGUAGGGGAGCGUUCUGUAAGCCUGUGAAGGUGUGCUGUGAGGCAUGCUGGAGGUAUCAGAAGUGCGAAUGCUGACAUAAGUAACGAUAAAGCGGGUGAAAAGCCCGCUCGCCGGAAGACCAAGGGUUCCUGUCCAACGUUAAUCGGGGCAGGGUGAGUCGACCCCUAAGGCGAGGCCGAAAGGCGUAGUCGAUGGGAAACGGGUUAAUAUUCCCGUACUUGGUGUUACUGCGAAGGGG